UCGGAUCGGUCCAUCUCUAAUAUAUAUAUAAUCUUUCUUUUAAUUAUUUAGACCAAUAGGCUGUACCACAUCCCUUUGUAACACCAUUUUGUUUCCAUUGCACAGGACAGUGAAGCAACCCUGUCAGAUGACUCUGGUUUGGAGGAAGUCCCUGCAAAGAGGCCGGCAGAGAGGCCUGAUACAGAGGGUGACAUUCGUUUGCUCUAUAAGAGAAGUCUCCAGCAAAAAAUGGAGUAUACUGAGCUAAAGAAACAAAAGCUUCUAGGUGAAAUCGAACUUCAAGCUCUAAUGAGGC